ACCUGUUGCUUUGUGCCUCAGUUCCUAGCAGAUAGUGGACCAGUACCAAGUAGCCUGAGGUUGGAAAUCCUCUCUUAGGAGUUCAAAGGAAUAACUGCUCAUGAGAAUCCAGAAAGAUUUCUGAGAUCACCUAACAGGCAAAACCCUCCAAAGAAAAAGCCAUUGCUGCAGCCUGGAUGCUGAAUGUCCGCCAAGGUCCACGUGUUAAAGACUCGGUCCCGAAAGGCACACUAUUGGGAGGAUGACAAGAACUGAGUUCACAGCCAGAAAAGCAGGCAAGCAAAGGUGCUACAGCUGGGUAGUGCUCAGAGCCGGACCCCUCACCUUGGAAACUCGGGCAGUGGAUGGAUUUUAGGCUCAAGCACCUUUCAUAAAUUCUUUGUCCAACCAAGUAAUCUCACGGCAUUCAUUUCUGUGUUUCCUUCACAGUCCAGCUAAGAGGUGCAUUGCUCCAGUGACAUCUGACUUAGCUCCUGGCACCUGCUAUUGCAUUGGACAACUAAAACCUCUUGCAAAUAGAGCAAGCCCCCGGGCACUCCUGUCAGUAGGCACAAACGUGC